UACGUAGGGUGCGAGCGUUGUCCGGAAUUAUUGGGCGUAAAGAGCUCGUAGGCGGUGUGUCACGUCGGCCGUGAAAACCUGCAGCUUAACUGUGGGCGUGCGGUCGAUACGGGCAUCACUGGAGUUCGGCAGGGGAGACUGGAAUUCCUGGUGUAGCGGUGAAAUGCGCAGAUAUCGGGAGGAACACCAGUGGCGAAGGCGACUACCUGGCCUGUUCUUGACGCUGAGGCGCGAAAGCUAGGGGAGCAAACGGG
rnacentral:rRNA from 1 species